GGGUUUGUAGCUCAGGCGGUUAGAGCGUUGCCCUGAUAAGGCAAAGGUCGAUGGUUCAAGUCCAUCUAAACCCACCA
rnacentral:tRNA from 1 species